GAAACGCGAUAGUUAAUGUGAAUUGCAGAAUUCAGUGAAUCAUCGAGUCUUUGAACGCACAUUGCGCCCAUAGGUAUUCCUUUGGGCAUGUCUGUUUGAGCGUCAUUACGCACCCUCAAGCCCGGCUUGUGUGAUGGGCCCUGGCGUCUCGUUCGCGAGACGGGCCCGAAAGGCAGCGGCGGCGUCGACCCGAUGAGCCCGAGCGUAUGGGGACUUUUGUCACACGUUUGCGGUGCGGACCGGCGCCUGCUUGACUUUUCUGAUUAUCCAGGUUGACCUCGGAUCAGGUAGGGAUACCCGCUGAACUUAAGC
rnacentral:misc_RNA from 1 species